rnacentral:rRNA from 1 species
AAUCUUUACCCCGCAAGGGGGUCCAGUCGAGGUGCUGCAUGGCUGUCGUCAGCUCGUGUCGUGAGAUGUUGGGUUAAGUCCCGCAACGAGCGCAACCCUUGUCCUGUGUUGCCAUCAUUCAGUUGGAACUCGCAGGAGACCGCCAGCGAUGAGCUGGAGGAAGGUGGGGAUGACGUCAAGUCCUCAUGGCCUUUAUGUCCAGGGCUACACACGUGCUACAAUGGCCGGUACAAAGCGCAGCAAACCCGCGAGGGGGAGCCAAUCGCAAAAAACCGGUCUCAGUUCGGAUUGCAGGCUGCAACUCGCCUGCAUGAAGCUGGAAUCGCUAGUAAUGGCAGAUCAGCACGCUCGCCGUCGAAUACGUUCCCGGGCCUUGUACACACCGCCCGUCACAUCACGAAAGUGGAUUGUACUAGAAGUCUGCAGGCUGACCCGCAAGGGAGGCAGCGGCCCAAGGUAUGAUCCAUGAUUGGGGUGAAGUCGUAACAAGGUAAGCGUAGUGCU